rnacentral:lncRNA from 1 species
UUCAAAUUUUCCGAACUCUUAAGCAUAUUUAAUGCAAAGGAAUUCAUAAGGAAAACUUGCGAAUGUUCAAACGACGUCUUAAACUUACAUGUUGUAUCUUUAAUUUCCUUUAAAAUACGGCAAUUAAAAACGACUGUUAGGUUUUAUGUAGAUGUAUAAAACACGCGAGUCAAACUGUAAGGCUGCCACGUUUUUAAACGGUAUUUCUUGUUUAGGAAAAAAGGUUAAGGAGAAAGCCGAGUGGAGCGACAACGACGCGCGGCGGGACGGUGCACGAAGCAGCCAGGGUUCCCUUAUCUUUACAUAUACAUGUAUAGGCAUAUCGAAAAAAAAAACAACAAAAAACAAAAAACGUGGGAAACACGACAACGUUUGGGCCAAUUCAAGGCUAAGAUUGAUACAGACAUGGAGUAUCCGAAAGGCCCCUCGAAAUGUUGUUAGAUAUGAUGGCAAGCCGUCAUUACAAUUAUGUUAAAGAUUAAUAUAACAAAGUAUUUUAAUGUAAUUUAAAAUGUUUAUUCGCAUAGAAAACCACAUUAUUUUGUGCUGAUAAUGUGUGUGUAUAAAAAUCAGCAUAUCUUAUUAUUCGAAUUCAAAUUUACUGUACGAAAAAAUAUGCUUUAUUUCCAUUUACUUGACCAAAAAAAGUCUACAUUUGUAAAUAAAUAUUGGCCUCAGCCAAAAUAACUCCACAACAUGCAUUUUUUUACCCUUUUAAAGCCAGAUUGUAAUCCGACGGACUUCCAGAAUCACACGAUUUAAAAAUUGUAUUGACUUCAAUAUAAGCAUUUUCGAUAUGUUGGUUUGUACUUCAGUCAGGAUAAAGAGUGACUUCUUCAAUAUAUCGGAAAGUUGUGGAAAACACAAUGACUGGACAACAGAAUGGUUUUACAUCCAUCUAAAAGAAGAAAACAGAAUGGUUCUACACCCAUCUAAAAGAAGACAACAGAAAGGUUCUACAUCCAUCUAAAAGAAGACAACAGACGAGUUCUACAUAUUUCGUAAUAUAGACUAUUUGCAUGUAUCAUACGUCAUCCGUGAAUUACAUGUAAUUGAACUCUAUACAACUUUACUUGAAAUUAACGUAAAAACCUAUUGUGUAAGGCUACACGGUCAGGAUUAAACGUUAACGUAAUGUUGCUAAAUUUUAUAUGUACAUUCACUUCUCUCACAAAGUUCUUAUAAUUUGCGAUGAUAACUUGUAAUCUAUCGUUUAUUUUAAACACAAUAGUACCAAUGUUGAGCCUGGACACAUAUUACAGUCCUCGAGUUCCACGCGUGCUCCCAAAGAUUGAAAAUACUAAUACAAGGACGAGUAAGAAAUAUGUUAUAAAUGUUUGUUAUGGUUGACUGAACAUCUACCAAAACUUUAGCUAUUUUCUAUUUCAGGAAGAUUAAUAAUAUGUUAUAAAUGUUUGUUAUGGUUGACUGAACAUCUACCAAAACUUUAGCUAUUUUCUAUUUCAGGAAGAUUAAAAAUAUGUUAUAAAUGUUUGUUAUGGUUGACUGAACAUCUACCAAAACUUUAGCUAUUUUCUAUUUCAGGAAGAUUAAAAAUAUGUUAUAAAUGUUUGUUAUGGUUGACUGAACAUCUACCAAAACUUUAGCUAUUUUCUAUUUCAGGAAGAAUAAAAAUAUGUUUUUCUACGAAAAUCCUGAGCAAUUUUAAGAGUAAUUAAUCAUUUAUUGUAGACAUAUAUCCAAGUUUGUCGACACCUAUGUCCAGCUGAAGUAUAAAUUCUUUUAAUAUAAACUUAUUCAAAUCCAUUCACAAUUGAAGAUUCUCCGUCAUCUCCUGUAUUAUCAAGCUUUUAAAAUAAAUAACUCUUUCGCUUUGUUGUGUUCUUUAUAUGUCCCAGGU